GGGAGAGGGACGCCGCCCGGACGGACGGGUCUUCCUUGUGGACAUUCGUCUGAGGUUGGGGGGCGGCAUGGCCUUUGGACUCACACCGUCUCCGCUCGGCCGCUGUUGGUUGUUGACUCUGGGCAAAUAACUUAACAUCUCUAAAGUCUGUUCCCUACCCCUGGAGGGGGGCCGAAGCUGGCCACGCCCGAGAAGCCGUUUCAUUUCGCAGACAUGGUCUGUACGCGGCAGGAUUUAAUCAAUGCCGUACUGCAGCCACCUCUUGACUCACUUCUUUGUGGCAGGAAAGUUGCCCAAUUAACGAUGCACUCAGUGACUAAGGAUGGGCUGGUGUACAGGCAGGCUCUGAAAUCUGCUCUGCCGCGGGAUCUUGGGCAUAGCAGUGAUCAGUGAAGAAGAAAGCCCAGGUGUGGGAAAACUGCUACUCCAACCAAGAAUGUGACACACAGGCAAGACACAUCUAAGUUAGUGAAAGUCCUCACAUAAGAGAAUACUCAAGAGAAAAGGAAAUUCAGAUCCCAAGGGUUAAACUCCAAAGGUGGACAAUUGCUUGCAUUUACUGACAAGCUGACCAUGAACUCCAGGAUUCACAGGAGAAAUUUCCUUUUCAUCUUAGUAGCAGGAGUCGUUUGAAGGAAUGGCAUCAUGAAUUGGGUGGACUGAUCAGAUUUUUCUCUUCUUGGAUGUUUAGAAAGUCUGGAACC